rnacentral:misc_RNA from 1 species
AAUCUCAGGGCUAUGGCGAACUUUUCAGUCGCGUUUAGAGCCAAAAACUACCGAAAUCUUACGAGAGACCAUGGCCACCGAGAACCUUCACCUAAAGAAGUCUCUCGAAGAUGGAGGUAACGCGGAUGUGAUCAGAGCUUUUAGCAUGCGAUGGUACAUUUUGGCCGUGUACGUCUAUUACUCUACCAUUAGUUGUUUCCAAUGGGUGGAGUACUCCAUAAUAACGAAUAUAGUGAUGCGGUACUACAAUGUCAGCUCGAGUGCAGUCGAUUGGACUGGUGUCAUGUUCAUGAUCGUGUGGCCGAUUUUCGUAUUUCCAUCUUCGUUUUUAAUUGAUAAAUUGGGGCUUAGAUUUGCGGCACUGAUUGGUUGCUUCUUGACAGCUAUUGGAGCUGCUAUAAAGCUUUUUUCCAUAGAUCAAGGUGCUUUUAAUGUAGUGCUGGUCGGUCAAGCCAUCGUCUCAUUAUCUCAAGUUUUUAUCCUGAGCCUACCACCGAAACUAGCAGUGACAUGGUUCAGACCUGACGAGGUUUCUAAAGUUUGUUCUAUUGGAGUUUUUGGUAUGCAGUUAGGUAGUGCUCUAGGUUUUCUAUUACCACCAAUGCUAGUAAAAGACCAACCAGACUUAGCAGCCAUUGGAUCGGAUUUAAAAAUACUCUGUUGGAGUCUCUCUAUUGCGAUUGUUCCAGCAUGCAUAGCUGUAGUCGUAUAUUUCCCUCAUAUGCCCAGACUGCCACCCAGUGCAGCUCAGGCUGAAGAAAGAAAGAAAAUCCAGAUCGUCACAAUGGGAACAUUCAUUCAGUCUUUGAAGGAUCUGAUGAAAAACAAAGGUUUCCUGGUACACAUGCUGGGAUAUGGGAUUAGUUUUGGAAUAUUCUCAGCUUUUGGUACGCUACUCAACCAGUUUGUGCUGUCAUAUUUUCCAGGUGCAACAGAAGAUGCAGGAAGAAUGGGACUAGUAAUGAUAAUGUUUGGUAUGUUCGGAGGUUUUAUGGCUGGAAUAGUGUUGGAUAAAACCCAUAAAUACAAGGAAACAAAUCUUUUUAUUUACAUAGGAACAGCACUUUGUUUUAUUGCUUUACUGUUAUGUUUACAAAUCAAGGCAAAAAUUUCCGUAUACUUUACUAUAGGUAUAUUUGGAUUUUUCCUGAACGCAUAUAUCCCUGCAGGAAUUGAGUUUGCCUCAGAACUAACGUACCCUGCCAAUGAGAGUACUACCACUGGUUUAAUGACGGCCGUUUCUCAAACGUUAGGUAGUAUUUUUGUGAAAGUCUCUAACCUGUGAAUUGUCCAGUGACAGUGACCACAAUCGCCUUGUGAAGCUUAUGAUAUUAUGGUGUCACUUUUACCCUUGUCUUGAGCCACUUGAACUUAAGUUGGGGUACACUUUGGGCCAUAUUAAUUCAAAUAGUACUGUUAUUCAUCGGUUCGGUGUUAACCAUGUUAGUACCAAACAACCUGAGAAGACAAGAAGCGUUCAACAGAGGAAGACCAGUUGAGUUUACGGAAUUACCUCAAGAAGAUCCUGCGCUUACCAAACAUGAAAAUUCAUGAUUUAUAUAGAAAAUCCGUUGGAAAAAGUAAAGUAUUUCCGGAGAUAUUUGGACUGAUUUGGGACUCUUAAGUUGUUUGUUCAGUGUCGAAAUUAAGAGCUAUAGAGUCAGUCCAACUGACUUUGGAAAUACUAUACUGUAUAUGAUCAAAAAGUUUUAUGAACAAGCUGAUUUUGGAUGGUUACGUAUAGUUAAAUGAAUUCUAACUUAUUUUGUUUCUUAAUCAUAUUAUCGUUGACAUUCCGCUUGAUCAUAAAACGUUUUGAUCAUGCUGUGUUUGUCAUAUUGACAAAGAAUUGUAGUUCCUAAAUACACUUUUGUAGUAAUACAACAGAAUUAAUAUAAUAAAAGUGACUGGUGAAAAAAUC